CAGUUCCCAUACAAUCACCGAAGUUAAGCAACAUCGAGCUUGGUCAUUACCUAGAUGGGUGACUGCUUGGAAAUACCAGGUGCUGUAA
rnacentral:rRNA from 1 species